rnacentral:rRNA from 1 species
GUGAGGAAUUUUCCGCAAUGGGCGAAAGCCUGACGGAGCAAUGCCGCGUGAAGGAUGAAGGCCUAUGGGUUGUAAACUUCUUUUCUCAGAAAAGAAUUAUGACGGUAUCUGAGGAAUAAGCAUCGGCUAACUCUGUGCCAGCAGCCGCGGUAAGACAGAGGAUGCAAGCGUUAUCCGGAAUGAUUGGGCGUAAAGCGUCUGUAGGUUGUUUAAAAAGUAUUCUGUCAAAGAUUAGGGCUUAACCCUAGAUAGGCAGAAUAAACUUUUAAGCUAGAGUUUGGUAGAGGCAGAGGGAAUUCCCUGUGGAGCGGUGAAAUGCGUAGAUUACGGGAGGAACACCAAAUGCGAAGGCACUCUGCUGGGCCAAUACUAACACUGAGAGACGAAAGCGAGGGGAGCAAAUGGGAUUAGAAACCCGAGUAGUCC